UGUCUAAUUAUUUAUCUAUUUCUACAAUUAAAAACUGAUGUGACUAAUAGAAUAACCAGAUAGUUACACAUGGCGUGUCAAGUGUGUCUCAUGUUGAUAUACAACAACUAGUUUUUAAUAGUAAAAAUGGACAAUUUUUAACA
rfam:Gossypium raimondii Chr05_contig_1355, whole genome shotgun sequence.